rnacentral:lncRNA from 1 species
UUUAAUCCAAAUAGUUUAUUCAGCGCUCCUGCCCGUAAACGUAGCAAGAAGCGCACCUGGCUGCAUUCCGGCAUUUGCAAUACAGAUAUACCCAUAGCGUGCCGCGUACCUCCCAGUACCAGUGUAGUCGCCACUCGUGUAUGCGAUGUAUUUUAGAUACUACCUCAUAGUUGUGACAAUUCUAUUUUACCAUUACCGCCUGAGAGCGCGCUUUUACAAGCAAGGGUACCCGUAGACCGGUCGUGUGCGUGCAUGCGUAAAGAGCAACUCCUACAACCAGUUCGGCUCCUUUCCGCAUUUUUUUGUGGCUGAAAAUCUAUCCAGACAUCGCGCGACUGGCUAAGGCGCUCCUGAAUCCAAUUUGGUGAAUUCUCUGUUUCGUUUGUACACAUGUUAUCGGGGCCUCACGCAAGGUCAUUGCAGGGCGUUUGUCAGUUCCUGGCCAUCUAAGCCUGUUGGAGAUUUGGGCAUUAACGACACAGUAGGUGGAAUGGCGAUUCAAUCCCUUUGUUGUAGCGGUGUCGACGUUUCCGCCCCGACUUCCGACAGAUAAGGUUCCGCCACAUCAUGAGCAAUGGAUGAACCGGCUAGUACCAGAAGCAAGGGCCUCCAGGGACGUUUAGCAAAGGGCAGGACGGAUGUUGGCCAUGUGCAUAUGGAUAAGUAACGAAUUAAGUAAAGGAAUCGUUGCUGGGGUUAAUCGCGCGCGGUGUACGGCGCCGGGCGUAAAAUCUUCCGUCACACACAUUUAGAGCCCCAACAUUCUCUCAAAGUAAGCAAGCUACUUUGACGCAACCCUCUGAAGUCGUGAUUUGUAAAGUAUUAUUCAAGUCCUGGCGUCGCACACACACGUGCGCUGUAGAGCUGUUUCUUCCCCGAUGCCCGGCUGUGCUUAUUGAUAGCAAGCUUCGCCCAGCGCGCGCCCACACGUGAUCAAGAC